AUACGUAGGUGGCGAGCGUUGUCCGGAUUUACUGGGCGUAAAGGGUGAGUAGGCGGUAAUAUGUGUCAGAUGUAAAAGGCUAUGGCUUAACCAUAGUUAGCAUUUGAAACUGUAUUACUUGAGUGCAGGAGAGGUAAGUGGAAUUCCUAGUGUAGCGGUGAAAUGCGUAGAUAUUAGGAGGAACACCAGUAGCGAAGGCGGCUUUCUGGACUGUAACUGACACUGAGGCACGAAAGCGUGGGGAGC
rnacentral:rRNA from 1 species